CAUAUACAUAUCCAAACAGAAAUACAGGGAACAAGGCGGUUUUCACACCAUUUCGCCUCCAACAGCCCCAAAUCUAAAUUAGCAGGAACAGGUUCAAACUCAAUUCGUGAAAAACUACCAGCACACCAUAUAUAAUCUUGAAUCGAGUCAAACCACAUAUUCACAGAGUCAAGAAUAGGCGAAAGGAAGAGAUGAAAGGAAAUGUAAGGAUUGGUUCCUACUUUGUUUUGGGAAGCAAACUCGGGCUUUGACGUCAAAGUUUUUCGGCGACUUUGCACUCAACCACGGGAACCCAAAUGUGGACCAAAUCAAAAAGAGAAUAGCAAGCUCAGAUUUUCGAAACCAAAUUUACCUCUGUUUCACUUUAUUUUUGUUUUGUUUUUCAAUCGAUUAUUUUCCUCUCAUGAAUUUUCUUUCGCCUUUUCUCUUCAAUUUUCCACCUUCUUUCUCUCAGAUCUUCCACUUCUUCAUUUCUUUUUUUUUAAGUUUUUGCUUUCUCCGAUUUUCCACCUUCUUUCUCUCAAAUCUUCAACCUUGUCCUUCAAUGGGUGAACGAUACACAUAUAAAUAGCCAAAUCCAGAUUCAAAAAUCUAGAUUCGAAACCCCAAAAUAAAAAAGGGUGUGAAAAAAGAACUUGAAUUUUAAACUUGAAUCAAAACCUUCUCUCCCCAUAGCUCAACUUUUCACAACUAUUAAAUAAUGGAUUGAACCGUUUUAAAUUAUUUUCACUCAUUCAGAAUUGAUUUUUCUUGUUCCUGAGGGAUUUGCAAGCUGGAGGGGAUGAUUUGGGGGGAAUUCUCACAGGAGGGGUGGCAGGCGGCCAGCUAGCAAUGAGUUUAGGGUUUUCUUCAUUUGGAGGGUUAAGAAAAGGAGAAAGAAAGGAGAAGGAGAAAGAUGUUUAUUUUGC
rnacentral:lncRNA from 1 species